AUGACGUCAGCGGACCCCGGGGAAGUAGGGAGGAGGGGGUGAAGAGAAGAUGGCGGCGCGGCGCAAUCGGCGUCCAUCCCCUGUCCCCCUGAGAUUAUGUAUUGCAUUGAACUGCUGCUGCUAAGUUAACAAAUUUCACGUCACGUGCCGCUGAUAAUAAACCCGAGUCUGAUUCUGAAAUCCUUGACUAGUGGGAUUUGUCAAAAGGGGAACACAUCACAUAGCAUCCACACAAAUGAGAUUUCACAAGUUUGGUGGAGCCGGAUACUGCCUUCCCCUAGACUAACACUGAACCUGUGGGUUACAAAAGUAAGUACAGUAUAUUCCAUCAUAUAAAUUCUUGAAAUUCAGCUACAGAUCAUUGUAUGAUGUUGUGGACAUCUCUGAAACUUGGCUAAAGUGUGCUUGCAUUGGGAGCUGAACUUCCUAGUAUAUACAGUGUAUCAGAGGGUGGUGUGGCCCUGUGUAAAAGAAAUAAUAAAUAAUUUGAAAGGGAUGACAUAGGAAUGGAACAUAUAAAGGCUCUAUGGGUUGAGUUAAGAAAUAGCAAGGUAAAAGGACCCUAAUGACAGUUGUAUACAGCCCUCCAAACAGCAGCUGUAAUUUGGAUUACAAAUCACAGCAGAAGAUAGAAAAUGUGUGUCAGAAGGGCAAUGUCAUGAUAAUCUUUGGGGAUUUUAGCAUGAAAGUGGAUUGGGAAAACCAGGUCAGUACUGGACCUCAAGAGAGAGGAUUUGUAAUGUCUAAGGGAUGGCUUCUUAGAACAGCUUGUUGUUCAGCCCUCUAGGGGAUUGGCUGUUCAAGAUUGAGUGUUGUGUAAUGAUCCAGAGGUGAUAAGAGAGCUUAAAGUUAAGGAACCAUUAGGAACAGUGAUCACAUCAAAUUCACUUUGAAAUUUAAGAAGGAGAAACUAAGUUCCAAUGUGUCGGUAUUUCAGUGGAAUAAAGGAAAUUACAAUGGCAUGUGAGGGGAACUAGCCAAGGUUGACAGGAAGGGACACUAGCAGGAAGGACAGCAGAGCAGCAAUGGCUGGAGUUUCUGUGAAAAAUGAGGGAAGUACAAGACACAUAUAUUCCAAAUAGGAAGAAAUUUUCGAAUGGAAGAAGGAUACUACUGUGGCUGACAUGUGAAGCCAGAGCCAAAGUAAAAGCAAAAGAGAGGACAUAAAAGGAAGCCAAAGCUAGUGAGAAGAUAGAAGAUUAGGAAACUUUUAAAAACUUGUAAAAGGAAAAGAUGAAUUAUGAAAAAAGCUGAUGACUAAUACUAAAAGCAUUUUUAAGUAUAUAAAGGAUAAAAGACAGUUGAGGGCAGAUAUAGGACCAAUAGAACAUGACACUGGAUGGCUGAGGAGCUGAAUGCGUAUUUUUACUUGGCAGUCCUUGUGCAGGAUUCUCUAAAGUUAACCUCCAGGUUGAGACAGUUGUGAUUGUUGGCAUUCAUUUCUAGAGGUUGGCAUUCAUUUCUAGAGGUAUAGAACAGAAGAGCAUGGUAAUGAUGUUGAGGCUCUAUAAGGCACUCGUGAGAGCACACUUGGAGUAUUGUGUGCAGCUUUGGGCUCAAUUUAGAAAGGAUGCACUGACAUUGGAGAGGGUUCAGAGAAGAUUCAUGAGAAUGAAUUCAGGAAUGAAAGGAUUACCAUAUGAGGAACGUCUGCCAGCUCCUGGGCUAUAUUCCCUGAACCAGGAGAAUGAGGGGGAUCUCAUAAAAACAUUCUGAAUGUUAAAGGCCUGAGCAGAUUAGAUAUGGCAAAGUUUUUCAUAUGGUAGGGGAGUCUAGGACAAGAGGGCAGGACUUCAGGACUCUGUCCAUUUAGAACAGAUAUGGAGAAUUUGGCUGUGGAGGCCAAAUCAUUGGGUGCAUUUAAGGCAGAGAUAGACAGGUUCUUGAUUAGCCAGGGCAUCCAAGAGUAUGGGGAGAAGGCAGGGGAGUGGGGAUGACUGGAAAUAUUGGAUCACUCCACGACUGCAUGGCAGAGCAGACGAUGGGCCAAAUGGCCUACUUCUCCUAUAUUUUAUGGUCUUAUGAUGUUAUAUAAGAUAUAGGAGCAGAAUUAAGCCAUUCAGCUCAUUGAAUCUGCUCUGCCAUUUCAUCAGAGCUGGAUCAUUAUCCCUAUCAACCACAUUCUUGUCUUCUUCCUGCAAACCUUGAUGCCCUGACAAAUCAAGAACCUAUCAACCUCUCUUGUGAACAUACCCAAAUUGGAGGUGCUGUUCUGCCUAGAAAUCCUCUGAACACCAAGGAAUUUAAGGUUACUGACCCUGACCCUCUCCACCUCCGAUCCCCAAAUGAGGACUUGUUGUGGACCUCCAGUUUCUUGCACCUGCAGUCAGUAAUCAGCUCUUUCAGUUUGGUGACGUUGACUGAGGGUUUGUUGUUGUAGCACCAUUCAACCAGAUUUCCAGUCUCCCACCUACAGUACUGGUAUCGUCAGCAAACUUUUAUACGGUGUUGGAGCUGAGCUCAGCCACACAGUCAGGUGUAAAGCGAGUGGAACGGGGGCGAAGCACAGCUUCUGGUUGAACGUUGUGGAGGAGAUGUAGCCAAUCUGAUCUACUGGGCUCUGCCAGAGUGGAAAUCAAACACCCAAGUGCACAAGGAGGUAUUGAGGGCAAGAUCUUGGAGCUUAUUGAUUAGUUUUGGAGGGGAUGAUGGUACUGAAUGUUGAGCUGUAGUCAAUGAAGAGCAUCCUGAUGUAUACAUCUUCAUUAUCCAUUCUGUUUAACAGUUUUGCUCUCUCUCUCAUCUCAUACCCAACCCCUCCCAUCUCUCUUGCUCCUUCCCACCCCUGAACACUCCCCUGUCCGUC